rnacentral:lncRNA from 1 species
UCAACAUUCUACAUAAUAAACAAUAACACAUUAACAAGAACACUGGUUUAAAAUGCAUCUUACAAAAAAAUAUUCUCUUUGUGAAUUCUGUGUACUAUAACCUGGCAAGGUAACCAUAUAAAAAGAUGUCAUGGUUUUAAGGGAACAUUUAAUUAUAAGAUUAACAAAAAUAUUAUUAUUUUAUUGCAUGUAGGUUAUAAGUUUUUUUAGUGUAACAUUCAGAAUAAUAACUAUUUCCAUCCUCUUUUGUCAAUUAAAACUAAUUGCUUUAUAAGAGAUUAAAAUGAUGCUUUUUGAAGACUAAAAUUUCUGAAUUGAGAAAUAUACUGUGUAUACUGUAUAUAUGCCUUUGCCCAAAAAUGAUUAAUUAUAGUCAAGGAUUUGUAUAGUGACAAGUAUUGGAAUCUCGAAGUAUCUUGUUAUUUUGCGGGUAUCAUGAAAAGUUGCAUACUCGCCUGUUUUAUCACUUGUUUGACAAUGUUAUGAACAUACACAUACACUAACUUCUUUCUUUAUGGUAAGCUACAGUCUAUUUAUGAUAUUUUGUAGAGACUUACCAAUACAAUAAUUCUUAUUUCUCUUAAAUUACAAAGUGAUAAUUACCUAAAUCGAUCAAAAGGAACAGUUGGCUUUAUACAGGAGAGAUACCUUUGCGCCAAAAAUGAGUCUUUUGCAAAACCACUUUUUUCUCCAAUGCUACGUUUGCGCCACCUGUUUUAAAAUAUCAUGGCAUCAUUUGCGCCAAUUAGAAGAAAAACAACUUCCCUCCUCCUUUAUUCAGUCUUGAUAACCGGCAGUUUACACUGCAAAUGUUUCCUUUUCUGAAACAUACUUUCUUCUUACUGCUGCUGCAUGGGUACUUCCCAAUUUAAUGUAUGUAGUAGCUUGUAACAACUUCACUUUAUUGUCCAAAAAGACAAACAUAAAAGGAUGAAAUGCAUAAACAGUUCAUAAUAAUACCUGUGGAAUGCUUCUGUUUCAUUACUGAUAGAGUUUCAGCCCUACGGAUGGUGGGAACACAUCACUGUGUCAUCAACAUAUGUGGCAAAAACCUAUUCAGCAAAAGCUUCUAUUUUCUUCUCUUUUGGCAUAUCUUGUAUUAAAUAUUCAGCAAAGCAAUACAUUUUCUUCUCUCUCUAUACAUGGACUGUCUUAUGCAUUUCAAGUCAUUUCUCUGCAGAUGCCUCAUCUUCAUGGUGAAAUAUUGAAAUAUUUCCAAAGGUAUAAUACUUUUUACGCCAAAAAUAAGAAUAUUUAUGAUAGAUAUGAGUACAGGUAAAUUGGCGCAAAUGAGUUCCGAAUAUUGGCGCAAUUGAUACAUUUGGAAAACAAAAUUUGGCGCAAAUGAUACCCCUGAAAAACAGUAAUUGGCGCAAAAGGACUGCUGCCGUUUAUACACUAUACUAUGUCACUAUACAAAUCCUUGUUCUAGUAUUGUUAAAUAUAUAUUCACAACAUAAGAAUAGUAUAUAGAUAAGGAUUAAAAUACUUUUUAUUUAACUGUAAAUAAUAAAAGCUUCUAAAAAUGUUAACAGAUAGAUAAUGUCUAUGAGGCAACAAAAAAAAAAAUGAAUAUAGAU